rnacentral:rRNA from 1 species
ACGUAGGGCGCGAGCGUUGUCCGGAUUUAUUGGGCGUAAAGAGCUCGUAGGCGGCCUGUCGCGUCGGCUGUGAAAACCCGGGGCUCAACCCCGGGCCUGCAGUCGAUACGGGCAGGCUAGAGUCCGGCAGGGGAGACUGGAAUUCCUGGUGUAGCGGUGAAAUGCGCAGAUAUCAGGAGGAACACCGGUGGCGAAGGCGGGUCCCUGGGCCGGAACUGACGCUGAGGAGCGAAAGCGUGGGGAGCGAACAGG